UAUAUAUAUAUAUAUAUAUAUAUAUAUGCGUAUUGCUCGGUACACCCUAGCAUAUUGCUCGGUUCAACAUACCGUACUUCAUGGAUAUAUUAUAAAAAUGAUUUUAUGGCUUUUUUAUGUUUUGGUGAGUCUUAAGAAUAGGUGCGAACACAUAAUUUAAUACAUCAAGAACACAUGCAUGAUAAAUAUCAUGACCAUAAUAAGAACCCAGUUAAUGAAAGAACACAAAAGCUCAAGUAUUAAACUCAAUUAUUGAUAUAACAUGAUAAUACAAGUAUAAUACGUGAUCCAUCAAGUGUCAGAUCAGUAUGACAUUAGCCUAAUGACCUAAAACCUACAUGCAUGGUUACUAACAACAUCAAGGUCAAUGUCACGUGUGUUUUGGAAUACUGGUUAUAUGUCAUAUAAUGUAUUGUGCUAUUGUCAAAUGAGGUGACUGUAACAUACAAAGAUCAGUAUGACAUUAGCCUAAUGGCCUAAAACCUACAUGCAUAGUUUCUAACAACAUCAAGGUCAUUGUCACAGUGUGUUUUGGUAUACUGGUCGUAUGUCAUGUCUCUCAUGCUAUUGUCAAAUGAGGUGACUGUAACUUACAAAGAUCAGUAUGACAUUAGCCUAAUGGCCUAAAACCUACAUGCAUGGUUACAAUAUCAAGGUCAAUGUCACGUGUGUUUGAUAUACUGGUUGUAUGUCAUAUGAUGUAUCAUGCUAUUAUCAAAUGAGGUGACUGUAACGUACAAUAGUUUGUGUUCAGCUAACUGACAUAAGGGUUGAUAAUAGAACUCAGAUUGGGUAGAGGUUCCCUAGAAUAAAGGAUGAGUAUUAUUGAUAAAUAUACCCGGGGACCAAGUGAGUCAAUUAACAUGGACUUUCUGUAGGUACUGUAAGAUGGUGCACUAACUCAUGAACAUCACUCUGCCAAUGUAGGUGGGAACAUACAGAUUUUGCAGAGUGGGAUCAUGGGUCAACAUCAUAUGUUUUCUAGAGUCCAUCUUGGUAUAAUGACAGAGACCUUUAUGAAUUCUUGGUCUUGAAAUUGGUGUUGCUAUCCCACUUGUUUUCAAAGUCAUUUAUGGCCUUUCCCUUCUUUUCUGUCUCUUGUGACUCAUAGUAGCAGCUGCCAAAAGGGUGGAAAGUAGUGGCAAGCAACAGUAACCUCUUUGCAUCCAUCAGAGGCAGGGAAGAAGAAAAGAGAAGAGAAUGACAUUAGGGAGCUUGUUAUGAUGGCCUAUGCUUUCUGCACCUGGUGUUUCUUCUGCACAGGCAACAAGGGGGAUGGUAAGAUGAGCAAGAGAGCAGAUAGAUGAGAAGAACACAGAGAGUCUUAAUCCUUGAGUCUUUUGUUACUUAUUGAUGUGACGUCCUUUCCUAUCUAUAUAGCUUUUGGAGCUAUUUGACUUUGUGGUAGACUUCUAAACUGCUUCUUUAAAGUUGUUGGCCAGAUAGCCUGACUAUUUAUUCGAACCAAGGUAAGCAAUACCGAAUAAUACCGUCUGGUACGGGCGGUAUGUACCGAUCCAACAGUAAAUCGGUACACGGACCGUCCGUUAACGGGCGGAACGAAUAAUAAUAAUAAAA
rnacentral:lncRNA from 1 species